UUUCUAUCGCUUAUUUUAUAAAUAACAUCGAUGGAGUUUUUUAUAGUUGAUUUUGAUCAAAGGAGUUUACAGUUAUCAUUCCAAAUUGUUGGUGACAAUGAUAAAUUAGAACGAAUAUAUUUAAUAUGAUAUGACUUUAUUGUUGAAAACCAAUAAUUAUGUGUGUUAUAAAAAUGAAUUAUUUAUGGAUGUACCUAAUUUUAAAUGUUUUUAUAGUAAUAAAAAUAAAUUAUCUUUUUAUAUUUGUCAAUUUUUUUUUCUAUUAAUUCUUUAUCGUAAAGAAAAAGUAAAUAAAUAAAGUAUUAACAUUUUCAUAAGAAAAUAUAAGUGAUCAAAAUAUACCUCUAGUGUAACACUCAUCCUCCCCUAACCCACUUUUAACAUAUUGUUUUUAAGAUUGGUUGCAGUACAUAACAAUUACUAUAGUUUUGAAAUUCAAAUUACCAUUUUAUUUGGACCGUUCAAUCAUUUCCAAUAUUUCAUAGCUUUAUGGAAAAAAAUGAAAGCACAAUAAAAAAGUAUGAUAUAUUUUUUAAAAUAUAAUAAUGAAAAUUUUCAAAUCAUUAGUUUUAGUUAGUACAAAGUAAUAAUUGUUUAAAAUAACGUAAAACUAAAGAAUGGAUUAUAAAGAAUAGAUUAUAUUACGUUAAUAAAAUAUUGUUCUUUGAAAUAAUAAUGAUAAUAAUAAUAAUAAUAAUAAUAAUAUAGGAAAUAAAAAAUAUUCAAAUAAAUUAGUUUAAAAUAAAUAUAGUUUAAAAUAAUUUUAAAUAAAAAACUUAAUUCAAUUUGAUUCAAACACAAUUUUUUAUAUAUUUCUUAUCAUAUACUUAAAGUUAUAAUAAUAUUAGUUACAACUUAGUAUAAAAAUUAUUAUUUCAGUGAUAAAUACUUAUAAUAUUGUUCUUUUAACAUACGUUAACAUUUAUAUUAUACUAUUGGGUACAAACCAAGAGUUUAAAACUUCCACUACAACUCAAUAGUUUUUUUUAUUUAAAUAUAAUUGUGAUUUUAAAUUUAAUGUAAUUUGCCUUUAUAUUUUCCACUAAAUUCAAAAGUUUUUUAAACUGAUGGUUAUUAAUGUGCAAUGAUUUUUUAUUUUCACUUAUUCAUUAUAUACAUUGUAGCUGUAUUAGUAGUAUGUUUUGAUUAAAAAAUCAUAUGUUUGAAAAGAUUUGUGAUUGAAAAUGAAAAAGUUGAAAAAAAAAAGUUUUGUCAUAUCAAUAGUUAUUUCAACACAAAUUUUUUAUAACAAUGUUUCUAUAUAUCAAAUGUAUGUUGAUUUCUAAAUAUUUCAUUUGAAUGAUUUAUAAGUGUUUAAUAAGUUUUGUUUGAUGUAAAUAUUAUAAUGUAGUAGUGUUUUUAUUUUAUUAAAAAGUAUAGUGUUUUUCAUACUAUUUGUUAUUUGUUUAUAUAUAAACCGACAUACGUUUUAUAUAUAAUUUCUACAACUUAAAACGUUGUAUAAAAUCAUAAAAAGUUGUAGUAUUUAUUUUUUCAUACUACUUUGUUUUUUUUUAUACAUAGGAAUCAAUAUAUGUUGGAUAUAUAAUUUACACAGCAUAAAACAGUCUAUAAAAUCAUGAAUUAAUAAGGGAAAUAACUAAUAAUAUAAAUUUAUUAAAAUUAAUAAAACUAAUAUGUUAACUAUAGAGUUUGUUUUGCUAUUGACAUUGGUUUUACAUGUAUAAAUAUUUAAUCGGAAUUUUUAAAAUUUUAUUAUUUUAAUUAAAUAAUUAUAUACCGAAAUAACGUACUAACAAGUAUCUCAAACGAUCAUGUUAAGUCAUACGUAUAAAAGUUAGUCGACACUAACUUAUGACUUAUUAUCCAUUUAUAUCUAAAGGAUAUGUAUCGCAGAUACAUAUGGUAAGCGGAAUAUUUGAGCUUUAUCAUGAUUUAUUGCGAAAUCUAAGAUAAAUACAAACGAUUUGAUGAGUAGAUUAAAAUUUGCCAUUUAAAAAUUUUCAAAUACUUUUUCUUUUGUAAACAAUAUCCAUGGAUAAACUAGUAAUUGAGCUUACGCUUUACCGCGAGUUUUUUUACGUGUUUUUAUUGCAUAUUAAGAGUGAAAAUUGAAUAAAUCAGUGAUAUUUUACAAAGUUUUAAGUUGAGAGAGUCAAAGUACAUUUCAAAAAAUAGAAAGGAUGAAAAAAGCAUUUACAAAGUAGAGGAGUAAAAAUCAUAUCAUAUAUACCAUGGGGACGGAGGAUAAAUACAAAAUUCUAGAAAACAAAAAAGUAAAAGUGAUAUUUUAUAAAGUUGAAGGUGAAUAUGGUGAAAGUGAAAAUGUAGAAAAUAAAAAAAAUAGAAAUGAUAUUUUACAAAAUUAAAUGUGGAUGAGUGAGCAUAAUAUUUUAAAAGAUAAAGAGAUGGAAAAUAUUAUUUUAUAAAAUAUAAUGAUUGCAAGUGACAAAUUAUAUAAAGUUGAGAGAUUAAAAUUACAAUUUACCCAUUGAUUAUAUGUACUUGUACAAAUAAAGUAGAUGAGAGAAAAUCAUGUUAAUGUAUACUCAGACGGAGGAUAAACUGUCUAGUAAAUAAAAUGAUAAAAAUGAUAAUUUUAUAAAAUUGAAGGUGGAAGACAUGAAAGUUAUUUUUUUUGAACCUGCAAACUAACCUACUCUUAAAACCAUAUAUGUCUUUUGAUAUAAAAUAUGAUUUUACAAAAAAAAAAGGUUACGAAUAUAUAAAACUGAAGGAUUAAACUUAAAACCAACACAUUACUGUACUAGUACAUUAUGCAUAUGUUAAAUAUUAACAUGUAAUUNNNNNNNNNNNNNNNNNNNNNNNNNNNNNNNNNNNNNNNNNNNNNNNNNNNNNNNNNNNNNNNNNNNNNNNNNNNNNNNNNNNNNNNNNNNNNNNNNNNNNNNNNNNNNNNNNNNNNNNNNNNNNNNNNNNNNNNNNNNNNNNNNNNNNNNNNNNNNNNNNNNNNNNNNNNNNNNNNNNNNNNNNNNNNNNNNNNNNNNNNNNNNNNNNNNNNNNNNNNNNNNNNNNNNNNNNNNNNNNNNNNNNNNNNNNNNNNNNNNNNNNNNNNNNNNNNNNNNNNNNNNNNNNNNNNNNNNNNNNNNNNNNNNNNNNNNNNNNNNNNNNNNNNNNACCAAAAAUAAAUAAAUAAAAACUUAAUGAAUAACGAGUCGUGGAGGCCCAUCACCCAUGAAAUGAAAAGAAAAAGAAGUAGUCCUUUUGUUUUGUGGGCCCCAAAUUAACGAGUCAGCGUAAUAGGUGGUGGCAGAGGAAAGAAAUAUGGGUCAGUGGAGCCCACUCUCUACCGACGUUUUCUUUUAUUUUAUGUCUUUUUUUUUUAACAUUGCCGCGUCACAUGCGUGUUCGACAAAAUAAAAUAUAUAAAGUUGCAAAUAAAUAAUUUUAUUAAAUUCUGCUCAACAGUUGAAAAUAAAACUAAUUAUAGGACUUAGAGGGUGUUUGACUUAGUUGUUGUGGGACAAAAGUCCUUUUUGUAAAAGGACUUUUUAUAAAAGUUGUUUUUUAAAAUGUGUUUGGAUUAGCUUUUGAAGGAAAAAAAUCAAAAGUUAAAGUGUUUGGUUUAAUUUUUACAUGCAAAAUGACUAAAAAUGAUAUGAUUACAUAUUUAUUGGGGGUGGAUGGAGAUAUAAAAGUAAUUUUAAUGUUUAAUAUGAUUUUGUGACUUUUCAAAAAAAUAAAAUUUACUCUAUUGGAAAAGUCAUUUUCAAAAGUCCUUCUUAUCUUCCCAAACAUCUUUUUGACUUUUUCUAAAAGAAAAAGUCAAAAGUCAUUUUAGAAGUUAAACCAAACACCCUCUUAGGGAGUGGCUACAGCAGAAAAAAAACGUAGUCUCCCUGCCAUCUCGCACGAACACCGCCCCUCCACCUUGGUCUAGGUGCGGUGGAUGUCUCUCUCUCUCUCUCUCUCUCUCUCUCUCUACGGUUUCAAUUUGCUAAAAUGAGAAAAUAUGAGUUGACAUUUACGUAGCAUAGGAGGGAGUACGGUUUCAAUAACAUCACUCCCUUCAGCCUUAACACUUGUAUCUCUUAAAUUUCCAAUUAAUUUUUUUUCUUUAGAAAAUAGCAAAGUAAGUUCUAAUUUAUUUAUGACAAAACAUCAUUUUUGGUCCUUUUGUUUUUCUUAGAUCUGAAGUUUAGUCCUUAAGUAUCAAAAUUUUCACAGAUGAUCAUUGUGUUUUCAAAACUUUUGAUGUUUGAUCCUUUUUUGCUAACUCCGUUAGCUUUUAGCCAUUAACUAUUAUUUGAUUAUUAUAUUCGGAUGACAUUUUCGUUAUUUCACUACCAUAUGGAUCAUUUAUGAUGUUUUCAAAUGGUAUCUCUCUCUCUCUCUCUCUCUCUCGUCAGUAAAUCCACCCACCCACCACAUUUGUCUUUCUCCCUCACCUUAAAAAACAUUGAAAUUCCAUUACCACCAUAGAGCUCUACCACCAAAGCACCUCCGACAUGGAACUACACAGUUAGCUAACCCCCGAAAUAAAAACCCAAUAGUGAAUCUCGCUGGAGAAUUGUCAUUGGAUUGCGAACCGGUUGCAGGAAUCGAUACCAUUGACAGUGGUGGUAGUUUCUGAUCCUGUCUCAAGGGAUGUUGAACAACCGAGGUGGUCAUUACGGGAUCUGGCCAUCGGCGUGACCAGAGCAGCUCAAGUUCCAGAAUCUGAACAUAAAGCCUUCAGGUUUCGUUCUGUCUUCUUCAAAACCUAUGGGCCCAUGAAACAACAAAAACUAGAAGGGGAAGAAAGGAAAUGACAAACAAAAUACAUCUCUGGUUUUUCCAUGCCCUUUUAAUCCUUAUGUGCUCCCUACACCAAUUUUGUCUCCAUCUCAAGAGGUUUUAGUUGACAUGGCAAAAGAAGAAUGGGGUGUUGAUGGGUAUGGAUUGAUGAAAAGGUUGAUCAAACUUCGUUCUCCUGGAAAUAACGAGGAUGAUGAAGAAGGUGGUUCAAGUGAAGGCGAUGUGGAGGAACAUUUGGAGGUGGAGAGGAUAUUAGACCAUGAUUUGACCAUCAUUUGAGAUGAUUUAUCCAAACUACAGUGGUGUUGAUCAUAUUGAUUUGGAUAUAUCCACUGAUAUGAUAUGAAUUAGGGCAUAUUAAAAAAGUUGGGGGACUCUUGUUAGGAUUGUCAAGACCAUCAGAUUGUUAGAUUAGUGUCUAAGCCCGUAACUAUAUUUAGUAUGUACUUGACCUGGUUGUGCAUGGUCCUUUUCAGUUGCCUUCACCAAAGCAACUUGACAGGAUGAUGUAACAUCCCAAAAAUACGAGCCAAAAAUUUCAUUUUUAAAACAUGUACUUAGCGAAACAUAAGAAAUAAACGUUCAACAAUCAUAUCAUUUCACAAAAGAUAGUGCAUGUCUGGCAAACAUUUUGAUAAAACAUAAAAGUGUCGGAGUACAAAUCCCCAGGAAGAUCUCAUGAUGCGGAAUACAAGCAUGUGUGUGAUGUAUCGCUACCGCGCCAGCUCCUUCCCCUUCGAAGAAGAGGUACCUGAAACAAAAACUGAAAACUGUAAGCACGAAGCUUAGUGAGUUCCCCCAACAUACCACAUACCAUACAUUCACAUAUCAUGCAUACUGUCGGACAAUUCUGGGGUGCCCGACCUACCCGGUACGGCCAUUCUAGGGUGCCGACCUACCCGUGUCUAGCCGUUCUAGGGUGCUAACUACCCGUGUCAAGCCGUUCUGGGGUGCUGACUACCCAUCGCUCCUAACAACCAACCCUCGGGGACUAUUUCACCCCCUACUACUACUAUCACAUAUAUCAUAACAUAACAUAUUAUCAGACAUAUUUGGGGUGUCCGAUCUACCCUUCGGUCCUAACGACCGAAACUUGGGGAUUAUUUCCCCCUACUACCACUAUCGCAAAUAACAUAUCAUGCCAGCAUAUAAACGUAUUAUCACAUACUGCCAGACAUAUCUGGGGUGUCUGACUUACCCUUCGGUCCUACAACCGAACUCUACUACUAUCACAUAUACAUAUCAUGCCAGCGUAUAACAUAUCAGGUAGUAGCAAACCUAGAUGUUAUCACAAAGACAAUCAUCUAACAUACAACUCCUACUGGUGGGCCGACAUUGUGGCCGUAGACCCACCGCUACCGGAAGGUAACUCACCCCGAACUACUGAACUCCCGUAGACUCAACCUCACACUACUGAAGUCUCGCAGACUCGACCAAGCUGNCCUGACUCGCCGAGUCCCUGUCCCUUAGUCUGACCAUAAAUCCGUCUCUACUCGUCGAGUUAGGCUUUGACUCGACGAGUUCUCCUUCUAAACCCAAGGCCAAUAGUCCUUCAUCCCACUCGCCGAGUUGUAUUAACAACUCGCCGAGUUCAUCUUCAUCCGAAGAACACUCUAUGCUGUGACUCGCCGAGUUGUUAUUGAGGCAAGAAGAUUGCCUUGAACUCGCCGAGUCAUGGCAUUGACUCGUCGAGUUACUUCAUGAGUGAGUCUGGCUUCCGACCCACUGAGUCACACCCCAUGACUCACUACUCCACCCCGCAAACACGAAAGGGGGAAAACUCGGGGACUUACGACUCGACUCGCCGAGUCAGAUGAACGACUCGCCGAGUCAGAUGAACGACUCGCCGAGUCGGCCACAUGCAAAUACUAUACACACGAUUCUGCUUGAAUCCAACUCAUGUCAAUCAUAGAACUGGGUUUUUAGGGCUUGAUUAACACGUAAAGUUUCCAACUUUACGUGUAAAUAAACACCCAUGAGGGUUUUAGGGCUCAAAAUGCACCAAAAGAGUAGAUCUAAGGCUUUCAUGCAAUAUGGUUCCAUAAAGGCAGUAGAUCCAAGCUCCUGGAGCUCAAUCAUGCCUAGUUCUGUAGGCUAACAACUUAUUACAACCCACAAUGCACAAACAAGCUUGGGGAAAGGCUCAAGAAGGACUUUCAUGGAGCUACAAAGGACAAUAAGCAUGAAAACAGAGGGAAACUAAGUUAUACCUCCAGGAAAUCACUGAGAUAACCCAAAUAUGCCUGGCCUCCUUCUUUUCUUCUUGAUCCACACUCCUUCCCUCGACGAAUCUUCAAGAAAACACGCUAAAAAGCUUCAAACUCACAAGGAACAAGGCUUGAACGAAGUAUAGAGCUCUGAGGGUGAAUGGGGGCGAGCUUGGGGGCGGAUAAGAGGGUUUAAAUAGGGUGCAACCCCUUGAAAUCUAGGGUUUCAUCAGACAACGUGGACUCGCCGAGUCGCCAACUUAAACGUGUUCCGGAUCCCGUCUCUACUCGUCGAGUCGGUCCUACAACUCGCCGAGUCCAAGGCUAAAAAUGAAAAACACUAAGAUAAAUUUUACGUACCAGGAACCAGGUGCUACAGAUGAUUUAUGGAGAGAGAGAGAGAGAGAGAGAGAGAGGUUAUUAUGGUUUAUUAAUGUAUUAUAUGAAUAAUACAUUAAAAGAGAAAUCAUAUAGUUUAAUUAAUAUUGGUCAAGAAUUAGUUAAGAAUUAAUUUUGUGGCUAAAAUAGAUUAAUUAAAUAAGGGGGACUGGAACUAUCAAUUAUAAGAUAGUUGAUUUUGGGCUGUGAACCCUCAUGGACAUAAGGGGGACGAAAUUAGGAGUGGAAGCCUAUUCUAAUUUCGUCCAAGGAGGCCUCAUUCCAGAAGGUUCUUAAGCUGCUUAGGGCCUAAGUCAUCCAAUGAGGGUUUUGACUGAAACCCUAACAGCUCAGCUAUUUAAGGGACCCCAGGGCUUCAGUAUCAGCUACACCAAGAAACCCUAGAGUUACUAUAGCCGAAAUUGUGCUUCUCCUCCUCUCUUCUAGAUCAUCUUCUUGCUUGUGGUGUUUUUGAGCCAUUAAAGGUGUUACAUUUGUGACACUAAGCUUCUUGAAGAUCACAAAGUCUUGCAACUAUUAAAAGGUAUUAUCUAAACUAGUUUUAUUUUAGAUCUCAUUUUUUUAAUAGUAUGCUAGAUUAGGGUUUCAAGCUUUGGAUAAAUUUGCAUGUACAAUAGAGAAACCUAGAUCCAAAGCUUUAGGGUUUUGCAUGUGCACAUAGGAUGUUCUUUUGCUCAAAACCCAUCACAAAUAAAGGGGUACAAAAUAACGCCAAAAACACUAGUACUUUGCACUUAAAAUGUAAUACAAGGUAAGCAGGGUCGAUCCACAGAGACACGAGGACAUCCCCAAAUUCAAGGUCAUUUUAAAAAUUUUAUUUUUUGCUUAUUUGAAAAACCAGAGUAUUCAUUUUUAAAGAGUAAUGUUGUUGAAUUUGUUCCCAGAAAAACAUGAUAAAUACAUUAUCAAAGCAUUUCCGAAGAAAUGUAUUUUGUUUAUAUUAAAACUUUGGGAUGUCGUCAAUACAGAAACAUAAGCAUAAACAGACCUUAUAUUCAUUUACACCAGUGAUUUACAUCUCCUUUAAUCUCUCAGUGUAAUGUAGCUUCGUAUCGACACCUGCGAUUCAAAUAAAUUGAGUGGGUCAGGUUGGGAAACCUAGUGAGUACAUAGGGUUUUCAACCCACAAUAGUAUAAUUAUUAUGUUUAAUCAUCAAACAACUAACCCAAUUGCCCAUCCCCAUUAUCUUCUUUAUUCUUAAGUAUCUUCCCUACGAAUCAUCUAUUCCUCAAUAUUUAUUCCUAAGGAUUAUCCUAAGGAAUAGGCACGAAGUCCAUCGCUGCCAAGGUUUAUCUAACAUGCACUAAGUCCAUAGUUGUCGAUGUUAUCUGUUAGGAACUAAGUCCAUAGUUGCCAAUGUUCAUCUGUAGGGUACCAAAUCCAUAGCUACCAACGUUCAUUUUUAAGGCACUAAGUCCAUAGUUGCCGAUGUUAUCGGUUAGGCACUAAGUCCAUAGCUGCUAAUAUUCAUCUAUAGGGUACCAAAUCCAAAGUUAUCAACAUUCAUUUUAAGGCACUAAGUCCAUAGCUGCUAGAGUUUUUAUAGUACAUUUGGUGAACACAUCAUUCAUACCACAUAUAGGUUGCGAUCCUGCUAGUGUCCCACUGGGUUCUUUAGAAUAGUCUGUGGUUGUCAUCUAUACUCUGCUACAUGACUGGGCCAUCGUUUGGGUCAAGGCUUCUCAUCAUCUUUCACCUUUCAUCAUCUAUAUCAUCUUUCAUCUCUCAUCUCAUUUCAUCUCUAAUCUACCCAUCAUAAUUAUAGGUAUAAAAUACAUAUACAGUUUAAAUUGAAUAAAUUAUGUAUAAUUUGUUCAUCUAGCAUAAAUAUCAAGAACAUGGAUAAUAUGCACACAUAACACGUAAUUUAUAUUAAAUAUUUCAUAUUUAUGUGUAAGAUGAAAGUAACUAUGCACUCACUUGUUAAAGUGACGACUCAAAAUUCGAGCAGCGCUUUGCUUCUGAAACAUCCCAAAAAUAUGGUCCAAAAUUUUCAUUUUAAAAUCAAUAUUAAAACCAUAAAUCAUCCAUCAUCAUAAUAAAAAUCAAGAACCAAGUAUCUCAAGGACAUCAUGUCAAAAACUGUAUCAAAAUCAUAUAAGUAAUCAUCAGAGUCUAAAACAAUCCCAGGCUGAAGUUGUGGUGUGUGUCAUGUGAUCAUCCCGAGCCCUUCCCUUUGCUAGUGGAAGUACCUGAAACCAAAACUGAAAACUGUAAGCCCAAAGCUUAGUGAGUCUCCCCAAGCUACCACAUACUAUACACAUAAUCACAUACUGGUCCUAGCCCACUACAUCGGGCCCCGCCCGACAUCGGACGAGUCCGACAUCGGGCUCCGCCCGGCAUUGGACCGAGGUCCGACAUAACUUGGGCCUAGCCCCUGCAUCGGGCCCUGCCCGACAUCAGACUGAAGUCUAGUAUACAUAUCAUGAGCAUAACAUAAACAUAAACAUAGACAUAAGCAUAACAAGAAAGCUAACAUUCCUCGGGCUUGUGUCACACCCCAAAACCGAUAACGGCGGAAUACGUUUCGGGGUGGAUGACGUAGUGAACAGUAUCAUCACAAUUGCAUAAUAGUAGAAACAAGAAACAUACAACCAUAGUAUUACAUAGUGAAUUUAAUUACAUGCGUGUUUUGUAAUGUUUAACAAUCACCCAAAAGUAAAUCAAAAAUAAGAGAUGGGUCUUGUGUACUCCAUCUUCUCCAAAAAUGCCGCGUCUGUACCUGUCUAUCUUUGACCUGAAGAUACAAGUUAUUUUGAAAACAAUUAUCAGCAUAAAGUUGGUGAGUUCAUAAGAGUUUAGUGUGAGUUUUUGUAUACAAAGCAUUAGUGUUAAGAAUGUAUCAUUUAUGUUCAUAAGUAGUAGAAACUUAGAAAAUCCCAUAUUUUCCAGGAAAUACAUUGUAAGUGACAAUCUGUGAAAAGUAUGCAUUCUUUAUUUCUUUGAAAACAGUAUAUUGUAAUAAAAGUACAUUGGCAAAUCUCCAAAUAACAAACGUGAUAGGAUAAGUUAAGCCCGUGAUCAAUGAUAGAGGUGCGAGCUUCCUUUAGUGAUAGAUACUUACUUACUUCGGGAUGUGGUUUAACAUUUAGUGUAGUAUUUUAGAGUAGUUGUAGGGUAUUCCUUGUAUAUUACCAAUAGUGAGGAUAAUAGAGGAUCCCAUGACCUUCCCGGUCAUGCAUAGUGUAGUGAAGUAGUGGCAUCCCUGGGCCUGUACGGCACGGACUGAAUUAACAGUCGGGAUGUAAUAGCGUCUGCCCCGUAUAGAUCUAUACAUGUAGAGUCGUCUCCUGCUGGAACACUCCGGGCGUAGUGAAUAGCGAAUAGAGUAUCUCGUAGCGGGUUAGUGUAUUAUUGUUUGUUUAGUGUUUUCUCUAUGGUUAUAGUGUAGUAAUCUUUUAGUAUUGAUCAUAGUGUAUUCUCUUACUAGUGUAUCGUCUAGUAAUAGUGAGUAUUAUAGUGUAGAUAGUAAUAACUUUAGCGAGUAGUAGCGGUAGCGACCCUAACCAUACCUAUUAUGGUUAUCUUAGUGGGGAUGUUUCUUAGCACGUUAGUGACUUUAGCAUUAAGUGAAAGCAGUAAUAUUCGUAUCCCAUACUGAUAUACAGAUUUUAUAUAAGUAAGAAAUCAACGACAGUCGGACGGAUAACUACUACCCUAAGCCCACAAUCAAACAAGAACAGGAAAUAAGGCGAGAUAUCGGUCCUAAGUCCUCCAAGUCUUAUUUAUAUAAAUAUAUCAGAGUGGUUACAUUUUAUAAGCAAAUUGAUUAAAUAAAAGUAUUUUUCCAAAAGAACAUUUAAAUUCUGAUUCACUGUUUAAAAAUAGUUUGAAAAGGGUAAAACCCGUUUUUAAGGCAUAGGGACAAAUCACAUGUGAUUUGAACUAAGAGUAGUGAAUCACAUGUGAUUAAUCCUUGUAACUCGGAAAUCGUUCUGUAAAACUUUACAUAAACAUUUAUAAGCAACUUGUAUCUCCCCCCUAAAACAUGUAAAACACUUGAAAGGUUCAUUAAAGGGGUAUGAACUCACCUGAAAUCGCGGAAAUCGGGUGAAUCGGGUAAAUCGGGUAAUAGUGUCGAUUGAGCGUUUGGUACCAAAUAACCACUUGAGCACCUUUUAGGACCCUAAUGUCAUAUGAAAUAUGUAUUUUACAAGAAGUUAAUCAUCUUAUGCUUUUCAUUAUAGUAUUUGGACAUUCUAGUGUCGUUUUCGGGGUUUUAAGGCCUAGAAAGGGUUCCCGGGAGUGGUACGAGGCCAUGGAUGAUUUACGGGAGGGUCCUUGAGUUCACUCUCUUAGAGUUUAUGGCCUAAAAGCCAUUCUUUGGGAGUUUACGGCCGUAAGCCCCCUAGGCUUGGCCGUAAACUCUUGUGACACUCCAAAAUGUGUGUUUAGGGCCUUAUCUCACUUCCUUAAUUUAGUGGUGUGUGUUUUGGACCAAGAGGGAAGGAUUAAACAUCAUAAUUUGUGUCAUUUUUAGGGAGUUUACGGCCAAGACUUGUUCUUGGGCCGUAAACUCCUAUAGACCCUUCAAGAUGUAGGUUUUACUUGUACAACAUGGUCCCAAAUGGCUUAGAAAAAUCCUAGAAGGCCCUAUAGUGAGUUUGGAACAAUUUGGCAUACAUUUUUGGGGAGUUUACGGCCCAAGAACAUCCUUGGCCGUAAACUCUUCAUUUUGUUCCCAAAUGUGAAGUUUAAUUGUACAACACACUUCCAUAGGCCUUAGAUAAAUUCCUUUCAUGCACUAGGGUAGUUUAGGGACUUGUUUGACACAAAAAUUUGGGUGUUUACGGCCCAAGCUUAAGCUAGGCCGUAAACUCCUCUUUUUGGCCUCAAAUGGAGUUGUUUGAUGCAUUUAAGUGUUCCUUGGAGUCAAGUCUAAUUUACCAAACAUCCUAGAAGUGUUUUUGGGGCUUAAAACAUAGAUUUAUGGGGUGUUUGAGGUGUUUACGGCCUAAGCACAUGCUUGGGCCGUAAACUCCUUUUUAAGCAUCAAUUUCUAGUGUUUUAAUGUCCAAACUCUUCUAGUUAUAAGCCUUAAUUAGUAUACUAACAUACAAGAAGGAAAAACUUGGUCUUUGGCUUGGUUUUGGGGGUUUACGGCCUAAGGAGCUUCUUAGGCCGUAAACUCCUCUUUGAACCUUGAUUCCUAUGAUUUUUGGCCCUCAAAUUCAAUGAAGCAUGUCUAGAAUAAGAUAGAGGAUGAGUACUUACGUUUGGAAGUCGGAAAUUAGCGGAAUCGGGGUCGUUUUCGAGUCUAGAGAGAGAAAGUAGAGAGAGAGAGUGGGUGUGUAGUAAAAUGAGUGUUCAAAUGUUGUGCACACCCAUUGCAUAUGUCUCAGGAAUCGCACCCGAUACACGGCUACCCGAUGUUUAAAGUUAACUGGGUUAAAACUUUUUACCCGGGUGAAGUGGUUGAAAAGGUAAUACAACUCUAUUAGGUUAAACGGGGUUAACACAUACGAGUUAUAUUUCUUAUGAUAAUAUUAAGCCAUGCAUAAAUUUAGAUAUUUGGAUAUUGACGAUUCCAAAUAUUACAUAAAAUAACGUAUAGUGACACGUUCCGUUAGUGAAAAUGGGAUUUGUAACGGAAUUAGAUUUGGGGUUGUCACAGCUUGCCCCGACAUCGGACCAAAGUCCAGAACAUAUAAUCAUACACAUGCAAGAAUCACUAAGACAUCAAGCAUACUAACUGCAUCGGGCCCCGCCCGAUAUCAGAACGAAGUCCGGAACAUAAAAUCUACAUCGGGCUAACCCCGACAUAUACAGUCACACAUAAACAGGCCGACCUUGAUGCCUUAGACUCGUUCUUAUAGGAGAAGACUCACCUCUCAAACUAAAUACUGAACUCGUGCGUGAGGAAUCUCUGAUGGCUGCUCCCACGACUCCCCGGCUAACCUUAUACAACAAUACUUAGUCAGACAAACUGAGAAUCCUUUUAAGGGUAAAAUGAACAUUUUACCCCUGCUCUGAUGUAACGCUCGUAGAUCCGGGUAGUCAAUUUAGAGAUAAUGAGCAUCAAAAAUGAGUUUUUGAUGAAAGAUUACUUAGAAGGAUUAAUCUUAACCAAGUUGUAGCAUAUGUUACAAGGGUUCCGUACAUAUAACGAACGCCGAAAUCCGAGUUAUAACAAAGAAGUUAUGGCCCGUCAAAGUUUCGCGGAAAAACCGGUACGGCACCGGGAAACGUAAAAAGUGAAUUUACGAUAAAGGACUUUUUGGUCUUACUAAUCUAAACGAAAGUCGUAGAAUAUAAUCUCCUCGUACUGUUAAAUUUAAGAUAUGUCGAGAAUUAGCCGACGGAGUCAAAAUGAAAGUUGUAGAUCUUAUUUUUACCUACGCGUAGAUAUAAAGAACGUCGAAAACGGAGCUCGUAUGCGAAAGUUAUGAAUUUUUGAAAAUCGGAUGAUUUCCAACCUUUGUGCGAUGCCACGUGUCAACACCAGGCUCAUACAUGGAGCCCAAGAUGGCUCAUGAUGUGAGAAUCAUAAAACUCAUGACACGAGUGACCCUCCAGCCCCCUAUAAAUAAGAGGUGAAGCCUCCAUUCUUCCUCACACCUCUCAUCACUUCCCCCUUUCUCUAGAACCUCUCUUUAGCCCCGAAACCCCCUGAAAAGCCUAGGGAACCUACCUAGCAUGAGGAGGAAGCCCCAGAGCGCCCGACGGCUUCGAGAAGAAGAGCUUUCCGGCUCGAGAACACUGCUCCAGUGGAGCCCGGUUUUGAGAAAAAUAUGUUGUAAGUGAGCUACGUCUAACCUAUCUUUAGUAUAGCUUAUGUUUCAAUAUAGUAAUGUUAUUAUGACCUUAUAAUAAAUAUUUGGGCUAUUAUUAUGAGUUAUAUAAGUGCCGUUAUAAUAUCUUUUUAACCACUCGUGGUACAGGAAAUCUGGUUUGGAGGGCCGCUUGGGUUGCUGGAUUUCAGAAGUGCUAUUUGCUAAAAUGGUCCUGCCCUCCGGUGUUCCAUGUCUGGCCCCUGUCUGUACAUAGUGGGUGAAGAGUAUUGUUUUAACGCUUAUAUAAUAGUAAUAAUAACAAGACUAUUAAUUAGUCUUGGUUAACAUUAGACUAAACUCUAGUGAUAAUGAUACUAGGUUUUGUCCAAGGAAGUUGUUUUAAGUAAACGAAGUGAUGUCCGAGUACCGAGUCACCACCUUAUUACGUGAGUGCAUAGUUACUUUCAUCUUACACAUAGAUAUGAAAUAUUUUAUCUGUAUACUUGCUAUCUAUGUUGGAUGAACGAUUUUAUACAUGUUUUAUAUGAUGUCAACUCUAUACGUAUUUAUAUCUACAUAAUAUGUUGGGUAAAACAUGGGUAGAUUAAAUAUAAGUUGGAAGAUAAGAUGAGAGGAAAUAUAGACCAUGAGGUAAGGGUGAGAGGUGGACGAUGUGAGAAUCCUUUUUCCCAAAUGUUAGCCCCGUCAUCUAGCAGAGUAUGGAUGACAACCAUAGACUGUUCUAGACAGUCCAGUUGAAGAUUAGCAGGCUCGCAACCUGUAGGUGUUGUGAACGAUGUGUUCACCAGUGUACUCUAAAAACCCAUUGACAUGUAUUGUGAGUGGACUCUCGAAAACGAUAUUGUCAAUAAACGAGAUAACCUUGGCAGAUGCGCCUAAAGGACUCUACCGAUAGAAGCGCCUAAUAGAGAACCUCAUAACCCCAGCAGAUGCACCUAAAGGAUAAUACUGGCAGAUGCGCCUCAUAAGGAAUGUCACAAUUCUAGCAGCUGCGCCUAAGUGAUAAUAUUAGCAUCUGUGCUUGAUAGAUGUGUCAUUAGCAACGAUGGAUUUCGUGUCUAUUCCUUAGGAUAAUCCUUAGGAAUGAAAGAACGAGGAAUAGCUGAUUCUUAAGGUAGAUCUUUAAGAAUAAAUAAGAUAAUGGGGAUGGAUAAUUGGGUUAAUUGUUUGAUGAUUAAACAUAAUAAUUAUAUUAUUAUGCGUUGAAAACCCUAUUUACUCACCAGGUUUCCCAACAUGAACCACUCAAGCUUAUUUGUAUCACAUGUGUCGAUAUGAAGUAUCAUUACACUGAGAGAAUAAGGAGAUAUAAAUCACUAGUGAUAAUGAAUGUAAGUUCUGUUUAUGCUUAUGUUUCUGUAUUGACAAUGACAUCCCAAAUGUUUUUAAAAUGAAUAAAAAUAUGUUUCUUCGGAAAUAAUAUGAUAACGUAUUUAUCAUUUUUUUUACUGGGAACAAAUUCCGCAACAUUUUUAUCAAAAGAAGUACUCUGAUUUUUAUAAAGCAUAAACAAAAUCGGUCUUUUCUGGCCGUGAAAAUAGGGAUGUCACAUCUGAUUUGGACCAUAAACAUGGCCCAAUUCCAUCUAGUCUUUCUAAGUCAACUAAUAGCUCAUUAAAGGCCCACUAAUGGCCCAAUUUUCUAAAUUGGGCCUAACUUCUCAAAUGGGCUUUCCCUAAGCCCAAACAUAUUAUUAGCCCAAAUUAUCUGACUUCUGAUGGCCCACUAAGGCCCAAAGUCCAAAGUAUAGGCCAAACCGAGGCCCAAAACACCAAGCCCAUGUCUUUUGAGUACGUGGGGCGUACUCCUAUGUACGCUAAGCGUACUGGCUACAUGGCGUGUACAUUGUGCGUACCUGCAUGUACGUCCAACGUACGUCCCUGUUAAGUCACUUUUCACAUUAAGUGCUUAAUACUCUAAUCUAAAGGCUAAAAACAUAGAUCCUAGUCCUCUUCAAUGUCUUGAUCCAUAAAGUCGAUCACUUGGUGGCUUGCAACCCACCAAAUGAACCUAACUUGGAAAAAUAGCAAUGAACUUCCAUGGAAAUGGCUAGAUCUCAUGCAUGGUUACAUAAAUGCCUUAAAGGUUGAAACUUUACUGGUAAAGGGAUACUUUGAGCUCCAAGGGUGGCAACCCUAAGCUCAAAAACAAAGUUUCAUGAAAAAGAUCCAUCCUUUGGACCUAAAAAGGUCCAAAGCUCCAUAAUCCUAGACCUAAGCUUCUUAAAGGAAAGAUAAAAGCUUUAUACCUCCUUUUGAGUGCCAAAAGAUGAUAUGGUUCCAAAUCCUUGAGCUCAAGAUACCCAAGUUCUUCUUCUUCAACUCCUCUUCUCUUCUUCCAAACUUUUCUUCACCAAAAUGAGCUCAAAAGGUCAAACACACACAACAAUUGAGUAUGAGGGCGUAUUAGGGUUUAGUGAGGGUGAGGGAAUGGUAAGGAGGCUAGGGUUUGAGCCAUAAUGNNNNNNNNNNNNNNNNNNNNNNNNNNNNNNNNNNNNNNNNNNNNNNNNNNNNNNNNNNNNNNNNNNNNNNNNNNNNNNNNNNNNNNNNNNNNNNNNNNNNNNNNNNNNNNNNNNNNNNNNNNNNNNNNNNNNNNNNNNNNNNNNNNNNNNNNNNNNNNNNNNNNNNNNNNNNNNNNNNNNNNNNNNNNNNNNNNNNNNNNNNNNNNNNNNNNNNNNNNNNNNNNNNNNNNNNNNNNNNNNNNNNNNNNNNNNNNNNNNNNNNNNNNNNNNNNNNNNNNNNNNNNNNNNNNNNNNNNNNNNNNNNNNNNNNNNNNNNNNNNNNNNNNNNNNNNNNNNNNNNNNNNNNNNNNNNNNNNNNNNNNNNNNNNNNNNNNNNNNNNNNNNNNNNNNNNNNNNNNNNNNNNNNNNNNNNNNNNNNNNNNNNNNNNNNNNNNNNNNNNNNNNNNNNNNNNNNNNNNNNNNNNNNNNNNNNNNNNNNNNNNNNNNNNNNNNNNNNNNNNNNNNNNNNNNNNNNNNNNNNNNNNNNNNNNNNNNNNNNNNNNNNNNNNNNNNNNNNNNNNNNNNNNNNNNNNNNNNNNNNNNNNNNNNNNNNNNNNNNNNNNNNNNNNNNNNNNNNNNNNNNNNNNNNNNNNNNNNNNNNNNNNNNNNNNNNNNNNNNNNNNNNNNNNNNNNNNNNNNNNNNNNNNNNNNNNNNNNNNNNNNNNNNNNNNNNNNNNNNNNNNNNNNNNNNNNNNNNNNNNNNNNNNNNNNNNNNNNNNNNNNNNNNNNNNNNNNNNNNNNNNNNNNNNNNNNNNNNNNNNNNNNNNNNNNNNNNNNNNNNNNNNNNNNNNNNNNNNNNNNNNNNNNNNNNNNNNNNNNNNNNNNNNNNNNNNNNNNNNNNNNNNNNNNNNNNNNNNNNNNNNNNNNNNNNNNNNNNNNNNNNNNNNNNNNNNNNNNNNNNNNNNNNNNNNNNNNNNNNNNNNNNNNNNNNNNNNNNNNNNNNNNNNNNNNNNNNNNNNNNGUACAUACCAAAAUAGUUAUGGACUUAGACACUAAUCCAAAAUUAAACCCUAAAAAUUAGGGUUUUGAGUUUGCUUACAUACGCUGCGCGUUCGUGCAUGCGCCCCCAAAUCCUAGGCGCCUCUACGCCCCGCGUACGUCAGGUUAUACCCGACGUACGACUUAUGGGCAGCCCAACUAUUAAGCCCAUUUUGCUAAGGUCCACUCCAUAAGUCCAUUUUUCCCAUUAUUAGUCCAAACUAAUAUUAAUUACUUAAAUUAAAUAAUACCUCGAGAGACGGGUGUUACAGCUUCUAGGAAUUGUCUUUUCCUUUGACGUAAUCUAACAUUAUUAUCGCUAAGUCUUAGUCUAAUAUUUAUUGCGACUAAUUAUUAGUCUAGAUUCAUCAUUAACUCAAAGUCUACUUUCAUUAUCUAUCAAUUAAGGAACAACCAGGUAGGAUAAUAUCGGAGGUAGGGUCCGUUUGGUAUAUAAAGUAUACUGUUUGGAAAUCCCACUUUAAACAUCUCACUAAAUCAUAGCCUAGACAUCAUCCCCGUAAGUAGAUCAAUGAGUAUACCGACUUGGAAUCACUGAUAAAUUUUGUUUAUAGGUUCAUAAUAACGAUAAUGAACUUAAACAUAAGUUAUACUUAAAGUACGGUAAGCAUAACUCAACUUACAGGGGUUUAGCGGGGAACCAGGAUCUACAGGGCAGAACUUUGGAGCCAAAAAACUCUUCUUCUCGAAGCCUUCUAGCACUCUGGGGCUUUCCUCUAGCAAUUAGGAUUUACUAGGGCUUUGGGAGAGGUUUUGAGAGAGAGAGUGAGAGAGAGAGAAGGGUUAUGGUGUGAGGAAAAUGGGUGAGCUUCGCAUGGUAUUUAUAGGCUGAAAUAUGUCCUAGCACGUUGAUUUUGAGCUUCCAACUCGUUGAGUUGAGUGCCAAGUGUCACCAUCUGCUAGUAAAGCUUAGGAGGAAGCAAUGGUCCAGAUUAAGCGACAUCACCCCUUUCGCAGCAGCACCCUUCGGACUUCUAAAUUCCAUAACUUUUGCAUACGAGCUCCAUUUUUGAUGUUAUUUAUAUAAACGCGUAGGUAUUGACAAGAUUUACAACUCUUCUUUUGGCUUCAUUGCCUAAUUCUUGACCGAAUCUAAAUUUAACAGUAUGAGAAGAUUACACUGUUAAUGAUCGUGUCAAAUUCCUAACUUCUACAUACGAACUCCGUUUUCGAAUAUCUUUUUAUCAUUGAGCUCCUAUUAAUAAGAUAUUCAAUUCUCAUUUAGGUUGUGUCGGCUAAAAAUUGAUCGAUCUAAAAUUCAAAUUCCGGGUUGUGCACUGUUAUGCUAAAUCUUAGAAAAAUCAUUACUUCCUCAUACGAAAUCAGAUUUCGACGUUCUUUUUAUGGAUGCUUUCGGUUUAAGGUAUACUAAAAAUUUCAUUUAGAUCUCUAAGGCUAAAAAGUAUUUUAUCAAAAAUUCACUUUUUACGACACGCGAUGCCGUGCCGGUUUAGCCGUAAAACUUCGACAGGUCAUAACUGAUGGGUUUUAUGAAUAAGAACAAUCCUAUGUGCUCAUACAAACCCUAAUUCUUGGAUCUAGGUUUCUCUAUUGUACAUGCUUUGAAUCCAAGACUAACAAACUUAGAUCUAACAUAUUAUAAACUGAAUUAGGGUUUAGAGAAUUACCUUUGAUUGUUAUAUAGCAAUAACAAUCAAUUCCUUGCUUGGAUUGGCCUCAAAAGCUUAGUGCCUCAAGUGUUGCACCUCUAAUGGAGUCACAAACACCAUAUAUAACUUGGAUGAAGAGGAGAAGAAGAGAGGCUGCCCAAAAACGACUAGAAACCCUAGAGAAUCAGUUGUCCACGUUUUUGGGGCCUAAGGGGUCCUUUAUAUACUUGUGUGGGCUGCUCGGGUUUCAGUCAAAACCCUAAUGGACAGCUUAAACUCUAAGCAGCCCAUGGAACCUUCUGGAUAAGGCUAUGGACGAAAAUAUGAUGGGCUUCCAUCAUAAUUUCGUUCACCCCUUGUUCCUUUAGCAUUCCUUAGCCCAAUAACUCAAUUAUCCAAUAAUUGCAGUCCAGUCCCCUAAGUUUAAUUAAUCUCUUUUAGCCACAAAAUUAAUUAUCAAUUAAUUCUUGACUAAUAUUAAUUAAACAAUAUGAUUUCUCCUUUAAUAUAUUAUUCUCAUAAUAUAUUAAUAAAUCAUAUUUAAACCUUUCUCUCCUUAAAUCAUCCUACAUAUUGCUAUGGUGAAGGCAACCCAAAAGGACCAUGCUCAUAAUCGGGUCAAGUACAUACCAAAAUAGUUAUGGACUUAGACACUAAUCCAACAGUCUCCCACUUGGAUAAGUCUAAUAACUAUUUUCCGUAUGACUUCAGAACCUGAUCAGCAAUCGUAGCUUUCAAAAGCCGCUGUCAACUCUGAUCUUAUCAGAUAGCGUGUCCUCUAGAUAAGGGAUUAUAUAUUCCUCCAUUCUCAAGAUAUCGUAUAGACAAAAGACAUGAAUUUCAAUCAUUCUCUCUAUACUGUUUCCCGACUUCCGAUUUAUGACGACUGAUAACAGACUACAAUUGAACACAUCAACUUAGUCCCGGCUUGGCCAAGCGCUUAGGUGUCAUCACUAAAUCAUCGAGAGGCCCACAGAUAUCGCUUUUAUCCCACUUUGAGUAAAAGGAAUGGAUAAACUUCGACUCAAAUGCUCGCUUGCAUUUACUGAUCGAAUCACACACAACAAUAAGUUUUAUAACACCAAGUUACUGGUGCGUUUACUUAUUAUCAAUGUGCAACCGACCAACAAAUAACAACUCACACGUCUCGGUUUCAAGAAUAUACAAUAUUAUCGUCUCACUAAUCACUCGUGAUAAAACCAUGAAGUGAUCCAAGUGAGCGUGGGUUUAAUCCAAUACUCUAAUCUUAUCAAAGCACUCAUGAACUCUGCAGCAAACUUGUGCUAUGUCUAAACACUUCAGACAAUCUACAGACAGAUUCAUGACAGUCUUUAUUCAUACCUACUCCCAACGUAUGACCGACUGUGGAUGUUUGAAUAACCUAGUUAUUCUGGAAGUCAAAACAUGCAAAUUGAAACAUAACAAUAAUACUUAAUCCUAUAUGGCCUCAAACUUGUGAGAGUAAAUAAAACACUUCUAUUUAACCACCAUAUUGAUUACUCAUUAUUAUCGUUUACUGUUUCAGAAAAUCAACUUAUUACUUAAAUUACAACAAUAGCUGUCCCAUGCAUAAAGCAUGCACACUAUGUUUCCUAUGGUCCUUACUUUGUGAAAUAGAUCAAUUGAAAAACCUUUUCAAUGAUGCUCAUUUCACAAUUCCCAAUCCUUAUCAUUAGUGUAAGAACACAAGGUUCUUUGCUACUAUUAGAAUAUGCUAGAUUCUAACAUCUUAUGCAACGAUCCUUUCAUAAAGUCAUAGCACAAAAGUCACCAAGACUUGGCUAAUGAAAUUACAAAGUACUUUCUUAGAAAUUGUUACAAGACAAUUCCAUAGACGUGAAGUCUCACAUUCAAAGUACAUUCCUUUGAACAUCCUUCUUGCAUAAAAGUUUCUAAUCUAGACAUAGAUUCUUAAUAUCCAACUCCCAAUAUGGAAACAUUUCCACAUUUGCCAUAUGACAACUCAUUCUUAAUAGAAUCUUAUCUAUUCAUAAUAAUGUCGAUAUGGUCCAUCCAAUACCAUACUUCCAACUACUCACAAGCGACCAAUCCUCAGCGAACUUUGGAUCGUCCUUUGAUAGUUGUUUAAUUAUUUUAGUCAAAACCAAUUCUAGUCCUUUUUCCCUCUUAAUGCGCUAGACAUUUGGAAAAUUUUAGAAUGGUAAAAUAUUAUAGCAUUUGCAAUCGAUCCUAUACCCGAAGCGUAUGGGACACGAUGCAUAAUGUCUUACAUAAAGAUAUGAUACUUUACCAAUCUUUUGCCAUAAUAUUUUAUGUGUCAUGUUCUCACAAUUCGAACUAUGAAGAGGGAUGCCGUAAUCAUAAUCGAAUUUUAAGAACACACAAUGUAUCCUUUGACUGAAAAUAUUAAAAUUUCUCAAUCUAAGCUUUAGAUUUUGAAACGAAGUAUAAUAUUCUCUCCCUUAAUUAUAUUAAAACAACUUUUCAACCCAUGCAACUUUGCAAAUUGAAUCUUUGUUUUUCUAUAAUUAAUAUUGCUAACUUGCAAUACUCGCCAUAAUAAUCAUACAAGCAUAACACUUAUGCUCCCACUAUCAUGAUGAUUAUUAUCAUAUAAGCAUAACACUUAUGCUCCCACUAGCUUUGACAUGUAUUCAGAAAACAAAUGAACUUUCAGAAAACAAUGCCUAUUGAAUUUCUGAAAUUCAUAUUUCUAAUACCAGAUGCUUCGAUAAGCCUUUAUCUAGGCUUCUUAACCUUAUACACCUUUGUCUUAGAUAGCUCAUAUGUGUGUUUAAACAAUUCAGAACUUAUGUUACUAAGUUCCAAAUGUUGAAACUAAUUGCCAAAUCUCAUAAUUCGAACUAUGGAAAGGGAUGCCGUAACCAUAAUCGAAUUUUGAGAAUACAAUUUUCACAAUCGCUAUCUUCUUAAAAUCUCUUUUAGUGAAAGCAUUUCCUCACAGUCAUUUUCAUGAAGGAGGGAAUCUUAUGACACUUAGAUUUUAUGGUGUAUGAGUUCCUAUCCAUGUGAAUUUGCCAAAACCAAGGUUUGCGACAAAUCCAAACUCAUAUGGACUGAACUUUCUUAAUCUUGAUUUCUUGCCUUAUGGUAACACGAGUGCCCACCAUGUCUUCCAAGUAGUUUAGUAACUUGUCCUUACAUAUCAAUGUACUUUCCAUCGACUAAGGCUCUAGUAUGCAUUCAAAUGAGAACUCAUAGAACUCACAUACGCAAUUAACUCAAUUGGAAUGGCACAAAAACAAAAUAAUGUCAGCACGAUAGGUUGCAAACCUCAAGUCGUGUGCUAGUGAUGAUCGAUAAGGUAUAUUCUUGAUUUGUUCUUGAAACCUUUCAAGACCAUUAAGACUCCCACUGACUCCUUGACAUAUAAGAUUCUCUUGUCAAGAAACAUUUCUUGACAAAGCAAAUAUUCAAGAGUUAGUGUAGUUCUUAUCAAGACAAAACACUUCACAAAUUGGUCCUAGUUGGUCUUUGUCUUAUCCAAGACAUCACAACUUACCAAUUUCUAAUGUGCAAGAAUAAGAAAACUUUUCCAAAUUCCACAUUUGAUGAGUGUUAUAAACCUACUUAAGACUUGUCACUCAAUGUCACAAUCUUGGAGUAUGACUCUAAGACUUGAUAUUGGAACGAAGUAUGAUUGACUCUUUGAUUUAACCAUUUCUACAAUUCUCGAUUCCUCUUCUUAGACAUGCAAAUGCACUAAGACUCACUUAGAGGAUCAAUUGAGAUAUGGUUCUUAAUCAUUAAGACUUCAUCAUAAAACACAAUAAAAGGUACUCUCCCUUCUUCUUAGAAUGGAGAAACUUUUAUCUUUCUGCCUUCUUGAUUCUUCUUAUUCGUUCUGCUAUUGAUUGAAACUAUUUCAGUUAACUCAGAAUUAUACUCAAUCUUAUAAGUAUAACCAUAUUUACUAAACUUUAGUAAAUCAUGACGAAUAUCUUUGUCACUCUUGUGGUAGACUUGAUCAACGUACGACCUAGUGUACUCGAUCUCCUAGUCCUUCAAUUGACACUUUGUCAAAGAAUUAGUCUAAAUUUCCCAAAUGUGAAAGUUUUUCAUUCAUCAUACAAUACACAUUGCAUGAUUCCAAGUUUCUGUCCAAUUGAAACUUGGGCGAUGAGAAACUCUCCCUAUUUGGUAAACUUUUGACAUUUCCACAAAUAACAUAAUUAAGAAUCAAAUCCAUUAUUGCUAAUAAUAGAAACAUUCAAACAUCAAUUUUUCAUACAUGCCAUUGCAAGGAUAAAUAAAUAAGAUAAAAUCAAAAUUCAUUUUAUUGCGGAAAAAAUUUGUCCUUACAAUGCAAUUCAAUUGAAAAACUAUGUUAUUACAUAUUUCUUAACAAUCUAUUCUAACUCCAAGUAGUAGCUCAAGAAUCCAUUCUUCAAGUAAUGCGAUCGAAAUCCAUUUCUUCAUGAUUAGAUUCAGCUCACUUCUUCCCUCAAGCUUCCUCUCUUUUCUUCGAUCCUACAAAACAUCAAAAUGUAAUCUUAUCACAUCAUGUAUUAAGAAUCUAGAAUAGGAACUCAAAAGAGUUAGAUAAUGGAUUUUACCUGAAGUAGAGCCAUACGUCUUGACUCUCCCAUCUCUUAGAUCUCUCAGGUAGUUAGGGCAGCUUCGUCUCCAAUGCCCCUUCUCUUGGCAAUAAAAGCAAAUGGACUCCUUUGGCACAGCACAUCGGACAAUCACAGACUUAGUUCUUUCUGGACUUCCAAUGUUGCCAGUGUCCAUUGAAGUUUGGGAGUUUGAUUCACCAGACAAAUUUGCUUGACCAGCACGCCAAAUCAUUGCUGAUUCAGCAGCUAUAAGCAAAUAGGUGAGAUCAAUUAGGGUCACGUCGUGGUCCAUCAUAUAGUACUCUCUAACGAACUCACUAUAUGAUUCAGGAAGUGACUGAAGAACCCAGUCAACAGCCAACUCACUUGAAAUCUCGACACCCAACAUGUUUAACCUAUCAAUGUGUGACUUCAUCUCUAAGACGUGCGCACACACAGGUUUCCCAUCUUCGUGUUUACUUGCCAAAAGGGCUUGAGUGAGCUUGAACUUUUCAAGCCUUUGAACUUGUGGGUCAGGGAGAAUAAUUGGAGGAGGUGGAGGAAGUGAAGCAUGACUCUCAUUUCCUUGAUCGUAUCUCGGAACGUCAUCUUCAUUUGGAAAGCUUGUUCCAAAGGAUUUGGGAAGACCAUUGUAAGAUUCAGACAUCUACAAAACGGGAGAAAAUUCAAGUUAUGUUGAUUAGAAUUCUUGAUGUAACACCCAAAUGAAACAUCAAGCUAGGAUCCAACACAAUACUCUACAACCUAGAAGAGGGAUGCCGUAAUCUAGUUGCAGAAUAUUUGAAGGUAGGUAAAUGACGAUUUACCAAUUUCCACCAUGAAAAACGAAAAGGAAGAUUAAGUUUUAAAUGAAUUGAAACUCCUAGAUCUUUUGAGAUUCAUUGAACUUUUCAAUGGCAUGUUUAAUCUCGAUUAUGCCCUACUAUUUGUGACUGGGAUGCCGAGGAUCACAAACAAGGUGUGAAUAACCAUACGAAUCACGUGGUGCACCCAAUGCUACUAUCACCUAAUCAAUGUGCCGGUUAGCCACACACGCUCCAUUGAUCUAUGAUAAGCAUCGAGCCACCCUUCGCCACCAAUGUCAUCCCCAAAUUAGUGUGCCGGUUAACCACACACGCUCCACUAACGUUUGACAAGGGUACGAAGUGUAAUUCCAUGGGUUAGCAUACAAUUUCACAUUUUGCCUAAAGUAACUAUGAUUUGGGAAUUUGAAAAAGCAUUUAGUUACUUUGUACUUCAUUAUACUUAUAAUGGAAGGUUUCUGUCCUAUCCUACCCGUUCGGCUAACGACCCUCCACUAGUCAAGAGUGCGGUGGGUAAGAGUGGAUACCCAUUCAAUCGCCAUUUUAUAGGCAAUUUCCUUAAACACCCCUUAUAGACCAGCUUCGUGAAUGAGGCCUACUAACGGUAAGACUGACUGUUUACUCAUACAUAUAUAAUAUUAGACUUUUAAUGUUAUAUAUAGUAUAGGGUGUAUUUUACACUUUUAAAAUACUAGGUGGUUUAAUUUAGUAAAUUAUACUUUUAAUUUAAUUAAAUGUAAACCAAAACUUUAUGGGUUUAUUAAAUCACUUUUAAUUAUACACUUUAAUUAAUUAAUAAAACCAUAAGGGUGUGAUUUGAACUUUUCAAAUUACUAGGGUUUUAGAAUUUAACAUUUCAAAAUUAAACUUUUAAUCAACUUUUAAAUUCCAAAACUUGAGGGCAAGUUUUGAAACAUUUCAAAACAUUAGGGUUUAGAAUUUAAAUAUUUCAAAAUCAAACUUUUUAAUCAAAAUUUAAAUUCCAAAACUUGAGGGCAAGUUUUGAAACUUUUCAAAACAUAAGGGAUCAAAUAACAAAUAACAUAAAUUAAACAAUUAAUUUGGUGAUUAUCUAUAUUUGACCUAAUCUCAUUUUAUUCAUAAGAUAAUUACCAAAAAAUUUAAAUAAUCCAUAUUUAUCAUAUAAAGAAACUAUUAUUUAAAAGAUUUGAAAUUAUCUUUUGUUUUAUGAAGGAUAAUCACCCAAAUAUAAUAAAAAUCGGAUUUUAUCAUCAAAAUACGUUUUUGGUAUUAAUCCUUCAGCAAAACAGCAAGAAAUCCCGAUAUUCCCUCUGUCUGACCCCUGGACUCGCCGAGUCAGGGACUGGAAUCGCCGAAUCGGGGAUUGGACUCGCUGAGUUCAUCCACUGACUCGCCGAGUCAGGUCAGGCAGAGGCCAAAAAAUCGUUUUUCAGUAAAUAAUUCAACAUAGCAUCACAUACAACAGAAACCAAUCAAGGCUCUGAUACCACUGAUGGGUUUUAUGCAUAAGAACAAUCCUAUGUGCUCAUACAAACCCUAAUGCUUGGAUCUAGGUUUCUCUAUUGUACAUGCUUUGAAUCCAAGACUAAUAAACUUAGAUCUAACAUAUUAUAAACUGAAUUAGGGUUUAUAGAAUUACCUUUGAUUGUUAUAUAGCAAUAACAAUCAAUUCCUUGCUUGGAUUGGCUUCAAAAGCUUAGUGCCUCAAGUGUUGCACCUCUAAUGGAGUCACAAACACCAUAUGCAACUUGGAUGAAGAGGAGAAGAAGAGAGGCUGCCCAAAAACGACUAGAAACCCUAGAGAAUCAGUUGUCCACGUUUUUGGAGCCUAAGGGGUCCUUUAUAUACUUGUGUGGGCUGCUAGGGUUUCAGUCAAAACCCUAAUGGACAGCUUAAACUCUAAGCAGCCCAUGGAACCUUCUGGAUAAGGCUAUGGACGAAAAUAUGAUGGGCUUCCAUCAUAAUUUCGUUCACCCCUUGAUCCUUUAGCAUUCCUUAGCCCAAUAACUCAAUUAUCCAAUAAUUGCAGUCCAGUCCCCUAAGUUUAAUCAAUCUCCUUUAGCCACAAAAUUAAUUAUCAAUUAAUUCUUGACUAAUAUUAAUUAAACAAUAUGAUUUCUCCUUUAAUAUAUUAUUCUCAUAAUAUAUUAAUAAAUCAUAUUUAAACCUCUCUCUCCUUAAUUCAUCCUACAUAUUGCUAUGGUGAAGGCAACCCAAAAGGACCAUGCUCAAAAUCGGGUCAAGUACAUACCAAAAUGGUUAUGGACUUAGACACUAAUCCAACAAUAACCUCUUCGUUAUAACUCGGAUUUCGGCGUUCUUUAUAUAUACGGAACCCUUGUGACAUAUACUAUAACUUUUAUAAGAUUAUAUACUCUAAGUAAUCUUGUAUCAAAAACUCAUUUUUUGAUGCUUAUUGUCUCUAAAUUGACUAGCCCGAAUCUACGAGAGUGAGUCCAUGGCGAGUCAGUGGAAGAGAGUGUCGUGAUACUACGGGGAGCCAUAGUAUUCACUGGUUAUUGGGAGAGGUCUGUGAUACUGCGGGGAUCCUUGGUAUUCACUAGUCAGCGAGAGAGUGUCGUGAUGCUACGGGGAGCCGUAGUAUUCAUUGGAUAGUGGGAGAGGGUUGUGAUGCUGUGGGGAGCCAUAGUAAUCACUGGUUAGAGAGAGAGAGAGAGUGUGUGUGUUGUGAUACUACGGGGAGCCGUAGCAUUCACAAGUUAGUGAGAGAGUAUCACAAGAAUACGGGGGAGGCCGUAGCACUCAAUAGUCGAUAAGGGUGAAUAUUGCUCUGCUGGGAGCUGUAGUAUUCACUAGUCAGAGUAUGGCGCAAAGGAUUUCUUAGGCUUGGGUAGCCUUACUACUUGAGUCUUCGGGGGCCUGGUUGCCAAACCAGGGGCGAGACGGGGGUCUCCGUGUCAGUCGAGAAAUUGUUAUAUCCAAGGGUGAGUAGGGAUUAUCAUAAUCGGAAGGAAUUGGAGAGAUGGUGUGCGCAUAAAUCCACGAAUUUUGGGUCAUGAGUUGAGUACCAUAUUGGAAAUGAGUGGUUCAUAUUCUCCUGUUAAAUCAAACUCUCAAGCUUGAGUCUGGAUCCAUUCGUGUAUUGAAUAGGCGAGAUGAGGUUCCGGAUUCGUGGAUGGGUUUCAUUUUGAGAGGGUAUUGACCUUCAUCUGACAUCUUAGGCCGGUGUGGAUCAGUUUCAUUGGUAUGGGAAGAACCACGAGACGCAUGGAACUAGUGGGUGGUAGACGACAGAGGUCGGAAGUGCGACGAUUUCAGAUGAGUUAUAGAAUUCGCUUGGGGUAAAGCGAACCUCGAGACUUGUGUGUCGCAAUGAGCCAAGAUAGUUAUCGUGAGAAGGAAGUCGGUGAGACGUUUUUGGUUUGUAAUGAGUAACCUUUGGGGGUUCAUCUUUUGUGUCGGUAACUGACCUUUGGGGGUUCAUCUUUUGGUUUGCAAUGAGUAACCUUUGGGGGUUCAUCUGGGUGCCGUUUGUGGGAGGAACGCGUACCAUUUCGAUGGAGGAGGCUCAUCGGUCGAAAUUUUCGAUCCAUCCGGGGGCCACUAAGAUGUAUUUGGAUCUGAGGAAGGAGUAUUGGUGGCCCUGUAUGAAGAGGGAUGUUGCGUGGUUUGUUGAGAGGUGCUUGACCUGUCGUAGGGUUAAGGCCGAACACCAAAGACCGCAUGGUAAGUUGCAGCCGUUGGAGGUUCCCGAAUGGAAGUGGGAACAGAUCACCAUGGAUUUUAUCACCAAAUUGCCAAGGACUGCUAGGGGAGUUGAUGCAAUUUGGGUGAUUGUGGACAGGUUGAUGAAGAGCACUCACUUCCUUGCUAUCAGCGAGAGUUCUUCCGCAGAGAAGUUAGCAGAGAUGUACGUGAGGGAAGUGGUAUCUCGGCAUGGGGUGCCGAUCUCGAUUGUUUCAGACCGUGAUGUGCGUUUCACUUCCAAAUUCUGGAAGAAGUUUCAUGAGGAGUUGGGUACUAGACUGCAUUUUAGUACCGCAUAUCAUCCCCAGACAGACGGUCAGAGUGAGCGGACGAUUCAGACGCUCGAGGACAUGCUCCGAGCAUGUGUGUUGGAUUUCGGGGGUAGCUGGGAUGCAUAUUUACCCUUGGCAGAGUUUUCCUACAACAACAGCCAUCAUUCGAGCAUUGGUAUGCCACCCUUUGAGCUGUUGUAUGGGAGGAGGUGUCGGACCCCCAUUUGUUGGGGAGAGGUUGGACAGAGGGUGAUGGGCAGUACAGAGAUCGUGCUUCAGACGACAGAGCAGAUCCAGCAGGUCAGACAGAGGUUGUUGACCGCUCAGAGCCGACAGAAGAGUUAUGCAGACAGACGCCGGUCCGAGCUUGAGUUUCAGGUCGGCGACCUUGUACUCCUGAAGGUCUCUCCUUGGAAAGGAGUGAUUUGAUUCAGGAAGAGGGGUAAGUUGGGACCCCGAUAUAUUGGUCCUUUCCGUGUGACCGCGAGGGUAGACCGGGUAGCCUACCGCUUGGAUUUGCCAGCAGAGUUGGGGCAGAUUCACGACACUUUUCAUGUGUCGCAGCUGAGGAAGUGUAUAGCCGAUGAGUCGGCAGUGGUUCCAUUAGAGGAUAUUCAGGUGGAUGCGAGCCUGAAUUAUGCCGAGAGACCAGUGGCCAUCAGAGAUCGGAAAAUCAAGGUUUUGAGGAACAAGGAGGUACCCCUGGUGUUGGUUCAGUGGCAACAUCGAAAGGGAUCAGAGAUGACCUGGGAGCCGGAGCGUGAGAUGCGUGAGCAGCAUCCGGAGCUAUUUGCAGAGCGAGACUUCGAGGGCGAAGUCUAGUUCUAGUGGGGGAGAAUUGUAACAGCCCGGAUUUCCAGGUAUCUUUUAUGCUUAUAUUUUUGGAGUUUUGUGAGGGGACUCGGCGAGUUGGAGCUCAAACUCGCCGAGUAGGAUCGCGGUUCAGGACGCGGGUUCGCGCCUGGACUCGGCGAGUCCAAGGAAUGGACUCGGCGAGUCCUCGCUGUUUAAUGAAACCCUAAUUUCCCGGUCCUAAGCCCUAUUUAAAGGACCUUAUGGCCCUUCAUUGCGGCUACCUUGAUCUUGAGAGCACCAAAGCAGCUGAGGGUUCUUGUGAGUGAGAUAAGAGGCCAUUGUUCACCAAAUUUGUGUGUUUUUGCAAGAAAGGAAGAGGAAAGUCAAGCUAGAAGAGUUGGGGAGCUUGGAUCUACUUUCAUUUCAUCAGAGGAGGCUUCUUGAGGUAUCAUUCAGAGCUUAUUUCCGUAUUUUUGUUGAUAUGGUCAAAUCUAGGGUUUCUUCAUGCCUUAUUUGCUUUGUAUUUGAAGUGUGAGAGGUCCCAUGGGGAUAUGGUGCUUAGAUCUGGACCUUAGUAGGUCCAGAGAGUCCCUAAUGUCAUGCUUUAUGUCCUUCCUUUUUGGUUGGAGACUAGGGUUGCCAUCUUAGAGGCCAUUUCUCCAAAUAGAGCCUUGUAAGUGUUGCAUGAUAACCAAGAUAUGAACUUUACGUGAUGAAUGAGCUUAGGAGGGCCAGAUCUAUGAAUGGAUGGAGCGGAUUUGACCUCAGAAGCUAGUUUGAGUUGAUGCAUGGCAUGGACUCGCCGAGUCUGAAGAACAGACUCGGCGAGUAGCAUGAAGAUUGUCCUUAACCACUCAGCGAGUGGUCUUGCCGAGUUAAGGGUUGACUCAGUGAGUCAGGGAGAGUUAGAGAGGGUUGACAGGUGGACUGAGUCGAACUGGAACUCGCCGAGUUGUUCUUGAGACUCGGCGAGUUGAGUCGGGGUGGCCCCGCGAUUCUUACCAGGUGGAACUCGUCGAGUCAGGGGAAUACUCGACGUGUCAAAAAGGGAAUCCUAGAGAGUUGGUGAAAACGCUUAGACUCGCCGAGUCGCUUAAGUGCACUCGCCGAGUCCGGUCAAAGUUGACCGUUGACCGUUGACCAGAGUUGACCAGAGUUGACUUGAUAAGGGUAGUCAACCUUAGUGGUAAAAGUGUUAAUUAGAGAUAUAUGAUGUUAUAGGAGGAUUAUAGCUCGGAGGAUCGAGCACGAGUGAUUUCCAGGAUUUGCGAGUUAUCGAGAUAUACGAGGUGAGUCUUCUCACUAUACUUUACCUUGAGUAGGUAAUCAGAGUCAUGUGAUAGAGUAUGUGUAUGCUAUAUGUAUGAUAUGUGUUGUACUGCAUGAUGUCUAUGUGAUUUAUGUUGUGCAUGUUUAUAAAGUUGGAAUCGGAAGGUUCCCAGAGUUAGAACCUGAGGGUUCACAGAGUUUGGGUGCACAGACCCACAGAGUUAUAGCCUCGAGUGGCUUAUAUGUGUUAUAUGUGGUAUUUUGGGGAACUCACUAAGCUUUGUGCUUACAAUGUUAGUGUUGUUUGUUUUAGGUACUAGUGAUGACCGUGGGAAGGCGCCGGCUUGAUAUGCACACACGCAUGGGAUUUCUUUUAUAUGUGAUCUUGGGAUUUUGUAUGAUGUGAAUUGGAGAUUUAAACUUGAUGUUUUAUGAAAUUUAAAUGAAAAAUGUUUUUAUAAUUUGUGAAAAAUUAUUUUGAAAUUCUCGGUGUUACACCAUACCAUAUGUACGCUGGGCGUACACUAAUCAUACCUGAACCUUAUUUUAGGGUCUUGGACCCUAUUUAAGCUCCUUAUCUCAUAACCUAACCCUAAAUCUUUAGCCUCCACCCCUCUAAACCCUAGAAAUCGACCCAAUGCCUCCAUUUGAUUGAUUCUUGAGCAUUUUGGUGAUUUAGUUAGUUUUUGGUGUAUAUUGUGGAAGAAGGAAUUCCUUGAGGAAGCAUUGCUUGGCUAGGAGCUUGUGGAUCCAAGCCCUAAUCAGGUUGAUCCGGAUACAGAAAGCAUAAAGUUUGAAUCUUGGUGGAUUUUUCAUGUGGAUCUAGUGGGGAGAUGAUUUGUUAUGUUUGGCUUUUGAAGAAGAAGGAUCUUUGAAAGAGAAUAGCUUGAGCAUCUAGCUUUUGGAUCUAUGUUCAUCUCUUGUUGGUGCAUCUUCCAGAGGUAUCAAGUUUGAAACUUGCUUAUUGUUGUGCUAGUUUUUGUUUUGGGUCCAUUUUGGGGUUUUGGCCCUAAAGCUUGAAGCUUUAUGAGUUGUUGAACUCCAUAGCCUAAUAUAUGUCCCUUUAAAUAGUGGAUAGGAUUCAUAAAAAUGAGGCCUUGGAUGUUGGAACCACCUCAUGCAUAUGAUAUGAGCAUUUUUUGGAGUAAAGAGUAAGAGUUUUUGUGUUUGGGACUGGAUCUGCCAUGCGAAGGCUUAAAGUCACGAGAUUUAUUGUGUAUUAGCCUUUAUGGAGACCAGAUCUAAUAGUAUAGCUAUGGUCUUAACGGAUUAAGACCAAGGGAGUGGAGUUAACAAUCCUGGACGUACGCUAAGCGUAAUUCCAGUACACCCCGCGUACUGACCAAGUGUCCCUGACGGCCAAUCUGAAUUCGUGAGUAUGUUGAGCGUACCAACGGAGGUACACCCUGCGUAACCUCACUGUUGACUUUUGGGCUAAGUCUCAUUUUGGGCCUUAAGUGUUGGGCCUGGAGUUUGGACUGGUUGCAAUAGAGUUUUGGACCAGAGGAAUAUGUGUGUGUGUGUGUAUAUAUAUAUAUACACACACACACACACACAUAUAUAUAUANNNNNNNNNNNNNNNNNNNNNNNNNNNNNNNNNNNNNNNNNNNNNNNNNNNNNNNNNNNNNNNNNNNNNNNNNNNNNNNNNNNNNNNNNNNNNNNNNNNNNNNNNNNNNNNNNNNNNNNNNNNNNNNNNNNNNNNNNNNNNNNNNNNNNNNNNNNNNNNNNNNNNNNNNNNNNNNNNNNNNNNNNNNNNNNNNNNNNNNNNNNNNNNNNNNNNNNNNNNNNNNNNNNNNNNNNNNNNNNNNNNNNNNNNNNNNNNNNNNNNNNNNNNNNNNNNNNNNNNNNNNNNNNNNNNNNNNNNNNNNNNNNNNNNNNNNNNNNNNNNNNNNNNNNNNNNNNNNNNNNNNNNNNNNNNNNNNNNNNNNNNNNNNNNNNNNNNNNNNNNNNNNNNNNNNNNNNNNNNNNNNNNNNNNNNNNNNNNNNNNNNNNNNNNNNNNNNNNNNNNNNNNNNNNNNNNNNNNNNNNNNNNNNNNNNNNNNNNNNNNNNNNNNNNNNNNNNNNNNNNNNNUAGAGGCUGGUGCGUAGCAGCAGCGUUUUUAGGGGUUGUUCAUCAUCCGAGGCGAGUCUUCUCACUGUACUUUACCUAGAGUGGUACUUAUGUGUGACCGAAGGGUCUUAUGUGCUUACAUUGAAUAUUAUGUUAUCAUGACUUAUGUUGUAUGUUGUACAUUAUGUCUUUGUGAUUUAUGUUAUCCAGAGUUUACAGACCGGGCCAGAGGGUCCAACGAACCGUGGGACUGGAGGGUCCCACUAAGACACAUUGACCGGAGGGUCUUACAAUGAUAUAGCCUCAAGUGGCUAAUGAGCUGUGUGUGUGGUAUUUUGGGGUGUAGUCUGAUACGGUGCAGACAGUAGUAUUGGGCCCGUACUACUGAAAGCACCGGAGUGGUGUACAGCCCAAGUAAGAAUCUUUGGAAUACCAAGGAUCAAGAAGGAAUGAGUUGUCGAGUGUGAGUAUGCUCGAAUGGGUUCUAAUUAAUCGUAUGUUGUAUUUUAGAGGUAGAUCAUGGUNCCGUGUCGGUCGAGGAUUUUUGUAUCCCGGGUUGAGCAGGGAUUAUCGUAAUCAGAAGGAAUUAGAGAGAUGGUGUGUGUGCAUAAACUCGCGAAUUGCAAGUUCGGGUUGAGUAUCAAAUUGGAAUGAGUGGUUCUAAUUCUGCUAAUUGAAUAAGACUCUCGAGUUAAGAUUGGAUCAAUUCAUGUAUUGAGUAGGCGAGAUGAGGUUUCGGAUUUGUAGAUCGGUUUGUUUUUUAGUGGUAUUGAUCUUCAUCUGAUUUCUUAGACCGAAGUGGGUCAGUUUCGUUGGUAUGGGACUACUCGUGAGACGUAUGGAACUAGUGGGUGGUAUAUGACAGAGGUCGGAAAUGAGACGAUUUCAGAUGAGUUGUAGCAUUCGCUUGGGGUAAAUCGAACUUCAUGACUUAUGUGUCGCGAUGAGCCGAAAUAGUUAUCGUAAGAAGGAAGUCGGUGAGACAUUUUUGUUUGCAAUGAGUAACCUUUGGAGGUUCAUCUAUCGGGUCAGGAGCUGACCUGGUGCUCAGUAUUGAACGGGAUUUUGAGAGGAAGUUGAGGCUUAUGUCUAUAGAUGUCAGGGGAUACUUCCAAGUGAGAAUGGUCUUUUCAUGUGUUUGAGGUCAGAUUUUUGGGAUUUAUUCUUUCCAAUAAGUUCUGAUAGUUGUUCAGGCGGUGGGUCCUUAGUGGGUUAUGACCUUUUUGUUCCUAUUGAGUUCGACAUGGAUCAAUUAGAGAAUCAGAGUUGGUAUAGUGUUCUUAGAGUCUGUAAAUCGAUGAAAGAUUAGCAUGAUAUUUUGCGAGUGUGGUCUGGCAGGGAGAUAGACCACUAGAUUUUUAAGUUCGAAAAGGGCCAGAUCGACUACCGCAGCGACAGAUGGGUUUUCCCUUCUUUGGGGUCGGGAGUUCCUAUUAGGAUCAGGUGUCUCUGGAAGAGAUUGUUGUAUAAUGUGAGGUCCUUUUGGUGGUGCUUUUCGGGUUAUCAGUUCGAUCUAUGUGUUGAUAAGGAGCGAUUUCGAAGAUAAAAUCUAAUUCAAGUGGGGGAGAUUUGUAACAUCCUGUUUCAGAUCGUCCGUGAUUAGGGUUCGUGGGCUGCAAAUCAGGCAUGAGGGAGUCACGAGGUUUUGACGAGUUGCUAGGAGCUUAGGGCAUCUCGUCACCUAUCCGUGGGUUUGAGAUUCGUAGGAAUCAGGGUUAUAUCGAGGAAGCGAUGAUAGUUUGAUGAUUUGGCUAGAUAAGUCCUUUAGAUGAAAAUGAUGACAGCGGAGUACGCUGAGCGUACGUGUGUGUACGCUUAACAUACUCAUGCACGUGACUUUUAAGCUGAGCCACCUAGUACGCUAGGCGUACCAGAGGGUACGCUGGGCGUACUAGGCACAAAAGAAAACCCUAAUUGAGAGGAGUGUCCUUAUAUAAAGAAUGAGAUUGCCUCAUUGCUGGCCACCAUCCUCAGUCAAUAAAGCCUCCUAAACCCUAAUCCUCGUUCUUGAGCUUGUGUGUGACCAUUAUGAGUUUAUAAGUGUUAUUGUGGGAUUUUUGGAGUGAAGAAGGAGCGUGGAAGAGAAUAGAGUUGGAGUCCAGGCUUUGGAUCUAAGCUUUUUUGUGGUUGGAGCAUCAUUUGGAGGUAUAAAGCUCAAAGCUUUCCCAUCCUUUUUGCUUUAUGCAUGAUAUGGUCCAUUUUAGGGCUUUUGGUCCCAAAGCUUGAUGCUUUAUGAGUUGUUACUCUCCAGAGCUUAAUAUUUGUCCUUUUAAGUGUUUCUAGUGGAGAGGGUCCAUAAAAAUGAGGUCUUGAACGUGAGAAUCAACCCAUGCUUGAGAUUUGAGCAUUUUGAGUUAAGAGAGAGUUUUAUGUGGUUGUGACCUUAUCAGCCAUGAAAAGGCUUAAAGUCACUAACUUUAUGGAGUAAGAGAUGAUAGGGAGUCCAGAUAUGAGAAAUGAGUUACAGUUUUAACGGGUUAAGACCAAGAGAAUGGACUAAAGCAAAACUGGGCAUACGCCCAACAUAAGUUCCAAUACGCCCUGCAUACUAGGUUGGCGUCCCCGCAUAACUUCACUGUGGGCUUUUGGGCUGGAUCUUAUCAUGGGACGUGAUGGUUGGGCCUGAAUCUUUGGGCUUGUGAAUUAGAGACUACGAGCAUAGAUAUAUUAUAAUUUUGCCUUGGGCCCUUGAGUUGGGCUUGCCAUUUAGUUUUGAGAAUGGGCCUCAGGUAAGCCCAUUUAUUAUUGGGCCUUGGUGGGCCCAAUGGGUUUUAGGCUAUUAAUGGGAUGGUUAGUGGUCUUCCUUUAGACCUAAUGAGUGAGAGUUUGGACUUAGUUUAUAAAUUGGUUAAUUGUGGUUUUGGCUCAGAGUUAGAGGCUGGUGCGUAGCAGCAGCGUUUUUAGGGGUUGUUCAUCAUCCGAGGCGAGUCUUCUCACUGUACUUUACCUAGAGUGGUACUUAUGUGUGACCGAAGGGUCUUAUGUGCUUACAUUGAAUAUUAUGUUAUCAUGACUUAUGUUGUAUGUUGUACAUUAUGUCUUUGUGAUUUAUGCUAUCCAGAGUUUACAGACCGGACCAGAGGGUCCAACGAACCGUGGGACUGGAGGGUCCCACUAAGACACAUUGACCGGAGGGUCUUACAAUGAUAUAGCCUCAAGUGGCUAAUGAGAUGUGUGUGUGGUAUUUUGGGGAACUCACUAAGCUUUGUGCUUACCGUGUUAUGUGAUAUGUGUUUUAGGUUUUCUCAGGAUCGCGGGAAGGCAUCAGCUUGAUUGUACACACCAGAGCAGGAGUUAUGUUUUGAGGAUCCUGGAGUAUGAAUCAAACAAUUAUGGAGUUGUGUUUUGUAAAUUAAAUCAAUGAGAGUUUUGUGAAAUGUGUUACGAGAAUUAUAUGAUUUUAAAAUGAAAAUUUUGUUUGAAAAUUUAUGUUGUUACAGAUAUAAGGUGUUCCAGAAUACAUAUCCAUAUUGUUUCCAUAACCUAUUUUUGUAAAGUUGACAACUUGAUGGUUUUGCAUGCCUCAAAUGGACCCAAACUCGAGAUAUAGCAACAUACUUCCAUGAACAUGGUCUUUUCUUGAACAAAAAUGGGUUUAAGACCCUUUUUAUGAUUCUAAGGGUCAAAUAUCACUAGAAAAAUGGGAAUCCUUAGCAUAUGAUCUAUGAAGGGUAUCAUGUUUCAUCCCAAUCAAUCUACUCGUCGAGUUGAGGCCUCUCAACUCGUCGAGUAGGUCACUUAAGUCAUGUGGUUCUGAAAAUCUCUACUCGACGAGUUUGGGGUUCAAACUCGUCGAUUUGCUCUGUAAAAAUGAAUAAUUUAUAAUUUAAAUGUGCACCAGGAAUCAGACGUUACAAAAGGGUUUGCUUGGGUGGGUUUUUUUGACCACGAUUGUUGUUGUUACCUCCAUUUCCUCCUUGGUCUCCCAUGGUAGAAGUAGGAAUUAAGGUUUCUGUGGGUGUGGAGUUUGGGAUGUUAUUAGUAGGUGAAUAGGGUGGAGUGGUAUUUCUAGAUAAGGAUGGUUGAGAUAAGAGUGAGAGGGUUUAUGUUUCAAUUUCUAACACACUUGAGAGGGGUAUGUCCUUCCUAAUGUUGAUGACCGGAGGGGUAGAUGAUGAACAAGUCCUGGAACUCGAUUGCCUCUUACAAAGCUUGGCAUGCUUCCGUAACCUCUUUGCAGUCUUCUCUAUUUCUGCCUCAAUUGGCAAUGGUGCACAUGUACGAAAAUAUCGUGUCCACGAUAACGACACCAAUUUGUUAGGAGUGCCAAGCCCAACAAAUAAAGGGGUACAAAAUGACUCCAAAACAUUGUGACUUUGCACCAAAAAUGUAAUACAAGGUAAAUAGGAUCGAUCCACAGAGACACGGGGAUAAAUGCUUAUACAUUUUUGCACAAGGUACAAUAAUGGUCACAAAAGUAGGGGUCGAUAUACAAUGACUUAAACAAGAGAAUAAAGCAAUAAGUAAAUGAUCGAUUAAAUGAAACAAAUUCAGGAUUUGUGAGAACUCCAACUAUAUACAAGACAAUUUGGAAAGGUGAUUCCAAGGAUGAUAUGAUAUCUACUCAAUUCCACCUAAGUUGUUACUUGAAGGUGUUAACAAAUUCUAACACUUCCCAUUCACCAAGUUGUCAAUUUCAAAACAAGCUUUUUGAAAAUAACCUAACCUUAUAAUUUAAGUAUAAACAUGCUCUUGGAUGGGAAUCAAAAGGUUGCAAAAAGAUUUAUGUGAAUGUUCCCAACAACACCCAAUCCUCCUCACAAACUCGGGAGCAUAAGAGUAUGUGAAUAAGAUUUACAUUAAAUUCAUUCAAUGGAAAUUAGUUUAUUGCUUGUUACUUAGUCCAAUUCACAAAACAAUUACGGAUUUUACAAAUAGAUAACUUGAAUGACCAAACCCUAGUUCACAUGGCCAAUAAGAAUCACGAUUAGAAUCAAACAUUCAAUUGACACAAAAUCAAAUUCACUAGACAGAAACUGUAAGCAAACAUCAAAUCACAUGAUUGAAAUCACAACUAAAAAGUUAAGACAUGAAGUUGGAGAAACUAGGGUUCUAACCACUCAUGAAUAGAACAGGAUCACAAAUAUAGAAAAUGAAAUUAAUGUUAUUGCAAAAUGAAAUCAAAUGUUCCCAAGUGUUAUUCAACUCCAAAAUUAUCUAGAAAAUCACCUCUUCUAUUCCAAAAGUUGAUAGAUGAAAAAAUGAAUCCGAUUGCCUUUUUUUUUAGGAAAGAUGAGAAACUGCCACUAAACCCACGUCCAUAUUUACACAACCCGUGUAAAUUUACACCGGUGUUUACAUAGCCCAUGUAAAUGCAAUAAGUAGACUGUUGAAAAUGGUUAGGACAUCAAAUUAUGUUGCUGAAGUGUGCUUGAUUCCACGGCCCAUGGAAACUCAUGCCUUAAUUUUCCACGUCCUUGGAUGUCCAUGAAUGGAUGCAAUCCUCAAAUCUUCCAUAUCUUCUUCCCCACAGCUCCGAAAGUCUUGAAAUCUUGUCUGCAUCUUCUAGUCACCUCCCUAAGCAAGAUCCCACCUCCAAGAGUCCCUGAAAUAUCACAAAAGUGUACGAGUGAAAUAAUAUCAUGGAAUAUCCCGGAAAACAUGAAAAAUGUAUGAGCUUAAGUCGUAAAUGCAAUGCAAUGAAAUGAAAUAAAAGUACAAAUGGGUGCAUAAGAUGCACCUAACAAUUCUUGAUUAGAGUAGUGGGUAAUAUUUUGAUUUCUUCUAUGAAAUGUAUUUCUGGAAACCUACACAUACACACACUUGCUUUCAAUGGGAAAUCGGGUUAGGGAAGAAUGAAGAUGGGGAUAUGGGUAUGACUUUCUUCUUGAGAGAGAGAGAGAGAGAGAGAGAGAGAGAGAGAGAAAGACCCUUUGAAAAUUAAAUAAUAUUUUUUUUCCUUUUUUUUUAACUAAGACAAAACAUCAUUAAUGGUCCAUGUAGUAGUGAAAUGACAAAAAUAUCAUCCGAAUAUAAUAAUCAAGUAAUAGUUAACAGUUAAAAGCUGAUAGAGUUAGUAAAAAUGACAAAAUAUCAAAAGUUUUGAAAACACAUGCACCGUCUGUGAAAUUUUUGAUACUUAAGGACUAAACUUCAAAUUUGAAAAAAACAUAUAACCAAAAUUGAUGUUUUUUCUUUAUUUAUUUUUGGCAACAUAAUAAAUAUAUUUUGUCAUUUUCGUAAAGUAGUAGUAAAUUAUUAUUUAUGCUACUUUUUUGGUUAAAUUAAAAAAAUAUAUAAGCAAUUUGCUAUAUCACAUUCGUCAACUUCCUAUUUGAAUUUAAAUUGUUGUCCGAUUAAAGUAUUUGUAAAAGAAGAAAAUUAUAUUCUAGAAAACUUAUAUUAAAAUCAAUGUUUUAAAAAAUCAAGUUACCAAUGCAUAUGAUUAAGUAAGAGUCGGUAUUACCAAAAAUAAAAGUUAUUAUAGACAAUCAAAAAUGUAUUUUUAUUAAAAUAGAGAAUACUCUUUUUACAAAAAGAGAACCUAGAAGUCUAGAACCAACUAAAAAACGUCGGGUUUCUUGAAGAAAAGAUUAAAGACAUAUAAAUGACAUAAAUAAUCUUUUUGCUUGAAUAAAAAAUGAACCAAUUAAAAACCAAUGGAUUUGUCGGUUUAUCAAGUAAUUGAAAACGGAUAAUGCUAAAAUAAAUGAAAUCAGAUAUUUUUUCAAAUUCACCCCCUCUCUACCUUACACUUGUAGUCUUCGUAUUUCCCUAUAAAAUGCACAUCCCGUGGGAGUAAUAGCUCAAACCAUCUUCUUACACAAAUCAAGUUAAAUCAACUCCUGUGAAAAGCGAUCAGAAUGGCUGGAAUCAUGGGCAAGAUCGGAGACGCACUCCACAUCGGAGGCGAUAAGAAGGACGAGAACAAGAAGCACGAGGGUGAAUAUUCGUCUGACCACAAGAAGCAGGAAGGCGACUAUAAGUCUGACCACAAGCCGGAGAAAAAGGAAGGGAUCGUUGAUAAGAUCAAGGACAAGAUCACCGGAGAUGGCGGAAGCAAGGUAGACAGCGGCGAAGGUCAUGAGAAGAAGAAGAAGAAGGACAAGAAGAAGAAGAAGGAAGGCGACAANNNNNNN
rnacentral:lncRNA from 1 species